rnacentral:rRNA from 1 species
GACGUAGGGUGCGAGCGUUGUCCGGAUUUAUUGGGCGUAAAGAGCUCGUAGGCGGCUCGUCGCGUCGACCGUGAAAACCCGCGGCUUAACUGCGGGCUUGCGGUUGAUACGGGCGGGCUAGAGUUCGGUAGGGGAGACUGGAAUUCCUGGUGUAGCGGUGAAAUGCGCAGAUAUCAGGAGGAACACCGGUGGCGAAGGCGGGACUCUGGGCCGAUACUGACGCUGAGGAGCGAAAGCGUGGGGAGCAAACAGG